AGGUGCCUUCAUGUAUAAAAAGGAGGGGGUGUGUGCAUUAGGAAGCAUGAGAGGCUAAGAUGCAAUUUAGAGAAAAUUGCAACUUUUGGCCCAAAGGUUUGAAUAAUUAAAUUCAAACCUAUAGUUUUUUUUUAAUAUAAUUUUGGGACUCACAAUCCCAUUUUUAUAUUAUUUUUCUCUCUUCCUCUCACGUUGCUCAGCGUUUUCUCGCAAGAGGGGAUUAUUUUCUUUUUUCUUCAGAUUAUAUUGACAAAGAUAGUGGUGAAAAAGGAGUUGUGAAGGGGAACUUGUUAUUCAAGAUACAAGGAGCGAAUCCGGCCGAGAAAGCACCAGAGGUGUAAUUAUGGUGUAUGAGACACCAUCUUUUACGUUGCCUCUUAUUUUGGAUUAUACAAUGUAUCUUGUGCCAACUUAGGACAUAUCAUGUCUAUGGAGCAUGUAAACUCUAAUCCUUUUUAUUAAAUGCAUUUAU